rnacentral:rRNA from 1 species
UACGAAGGGGCUAGCGUUGCUCGGAUUGACUGGGCGUAAAGGGCGCGUAGGCGGUUCGUACAGUCAGACGUGAAAUUCCUGGGCUCAACCUGGGGCUGCGUUUGAUACGUGCGGACUUGAGUGCGGAAGAGGGUCGUGGAAUUCCCAGUGUAGAGGUGAAAUUCGUAGAUAUUGGGAAGAACACCGGUGGCGAAGGCGGCGACCUGGUCCGAUACUGACGCUGAGGAGCG